CUCAGCUGGCUGGUCACAAGGCUGGUUGCAGUCGGGAUGCGGUAGACCUAGAGAAUCUACUACCAAGACAGGUCAUCCCCAUGGUUGGCAAGGAUGAGUGCUGGCGAUUGGCAGAAGCCCUCUGUUUCCAUCCGUGUGGAUCUCUUUGUUAGGCUACUUAUGACAUGGCAGCUCACUCCCCAAGAAUCAGUAACCAAGAGGGAGUAAAGCAGAAGUCUUUUGUGAUCCAGCCUCUGAUGUCACACUCUUUGUGGUUGUAACAUCCUGUGGAGGAUGCAAGAUAGGGAGGACUGUCUAAGGUCAUGAAUGCCAGCGUGGGGCCAUCUUGGAGGCUGUGUGUCACAGCAAGCCUUACAGAGUCAGCCAGCAAUGGAUUUGCACGAUCAAAUCCUACCCUAGUCCGAGAUAACAGAAGAAGCUGAAAAAUGAUGUUGGCCAAGCUGUCUCUCAAGAUUAAAACUGGGGAGGGAGGCGAAAUGGGUUAAUUAAUAUCCUCCAAAAUUCAUGUGUCUUUAUAAGAGAUGACAGAGAGACAUAGAAAAAGAGCAAAAGGGAAGAUGGAGGCAGAGAUAAGAGUGACCCUCUACCAGCCAAGAAGGACUAAGGACAGCUGGUGGCCACCUGAAGCCAGGAGAGAAACACUCAGAGCCUUCAGAAAGGACCAACCCUCACCGACACUCCGAUUUCAUGCUCUGGACUCCUCAAUUGUGGGAGAAUAGAUUUUCGUUAUUUAAAAUCAUUUGGUUUUUGGUCAUUUGCUAUGACAGCCUUAGGAAACUGAUGGAGAAUAAAAAUAAAAUCUUGGAAAGAU